rnacentral:miRNA from 1 species
AUGUGGGCUCAGGCUCA